GGGGCUGUAGCUCAGAGGCAAAGCAUCUGCCUCACAUGCAAAAGGUCCAAGUUCCAAUCCGCAGCAUCU